rnacentral:rRNA from 1 species
CAGUAGCCACGGUAAUACGUAGGUCCCGAGCGUUGUCCGGAUUUAUUGGGCGUAAAGCGAGCGCAGGCGGUUAGAUAAGUCUGAAGUUAAAGGCUGUGGCUUAACCAUAGUACGCUUUGGAAACUGUUUAACUUGAGUGCAAGAGGGGAGAGUGGAAUUCCAUGUGUAGCGGUGAAAUGCGUAGAUAUAUGGAGGAACACCGGUGGCGAAAGCGGCUCUCUGGCUUGUAACUGACGCUGAGGCUCGAAAGCGUGGGGAGCAAACAGGAUUAGAGACCCCCGUAGUCCCUGUCUCUUAUACA